rnacentral:lncRNA from 1 species
CUAUCAUACAACAUUGCCUUUUUCAAUUCUUCAAAGAUUCUAUUAAUCCUAUUUUACCUAUAGUGUUCUUGGUGCAGAAAGAAUUGUAUUCAAUAUUAUUUUCUGUGCACAACUUAACACAAAGAUUGGUUUUCAAAACUAUGCCGUGAUUCAUAGUUUGCAAACCUUUAUCAUUUGAUUGCUUUUUGUGAGUUUGUGCAAUUUGAGUGCCAAGAACAAGGGUAAUGUAGGCUUUUGAAAAAUUAGUGUUGGAAACAACAUCUCUAGAUUUAGAAAUUAUUUUUGUUUGUUUCCUUAGUUAGCAUGCAUAGUAAAACUUUGACCUUUAAGAGGAUAAUCUAAGUAAGCCUAUGGCAAGGUCUUUUGAGAUUAAGUACAUACUAGCAUGAGCUG